rnacentral:rRNA from 1 species
UACGUAGGGUGCAAGCGUUGUCCGGAAUUAUUGGGCGUAAAGAGCUCGUAGGCGGUUUGUUGCGUCGGCUGUGAAAUCCCGAGGCUCAACCUCGGGUCUGCAGUCGAUACGAGCAAACUAGAGUGUUGCAGGGGAGACUGGAAUUCCUGGUGUAGCGGUGAAAUGCGCAGAUAUCAGGAGGAACACCAGUGGCGAAGGCAAGUCUCUGGACGACACCUGACACUGAGGCACGAAAGCUAGGGGAGCAAACAGG